CAAAACCCCAUACUUGGGCUGGAACUGUUAGAAAUGUUCAAGUGCAUGUGGGGAAGUAAAACUGUAACCAUGUGGCUUUGGGAAGUCAUAGCAUGCCCAGCCUAUUACUUGCUUCAGUAGCUGGGUGCAACUAGAUCAGCAUUCAUAAAAACAACAAGCUGGCUGAGAAACAAGGAUACUUGAAUUCCUACUUCUUGGAACCUAUGCAGGAACUUCUGUCAACCUACUACAAGAUCCACUUACCCCCAGCUGAGAUCACUGAGGAGAGACUGCACUGAAUUCAGUUUCCUUGUGGAAGCAAAUGU
rnacentral:lncRNA from 1 species